AGCAGUGUGUUGUAGAGACCAUCUGGACUGUACACAUGAUGGAACCCAGUUAAGGCCUCUAUAUAUAAACUGUUACGAUUCUGGUGGGCGGAUGUGGAGAUCUACUCGUCCUGCGCCACUCGAGACAAGCCUGAAGCCACCUCAACUGAUUGAUAGGAGGCAGUGAACCCUUAAGGAAGCAAGAGAGACCAGUAGCAAGGUCCACAAUUUACCAAUUUUGAUGAAUUUUGUCAUACAGGGGUGACCAGAGAAGACCCUCAGGAUGCAAAAUGUUUAAGUGUAGGGAGAUGUGGUCCUGUCUCUGUGAUGCUGUGACUGCUGCUGCUUAAAAGGAUCUACUGAUGGAGAGGAGGCAGCCAUGAGAAGCAGGCAGCUCCCAACAUUUGCCACUGCAUUUGAGGGGUGUAUGACCAGACUGGGAUUGGAGGUGGAGCCCAGGGUGAUGGCUGUUACCUUUUGCUGCAUUUG
rnacentral:lncRNA from 1 species